AUGAUGUGCCCAGCGACGAUCUGAAUAAUGU
rnacentral:snoRNA from 1 species